ACACGGAAGGCAAACAUUUUCAGUGUC
rnacentral:sRNA from 1 species